GGAUGUAGUGGGGUGGGUUUGGUCUACUUGGGCUAGACCUUAACCAAGUCUGGUUCGGGUCCAGGUCCAACUU
rnacentral:tRNA from 1 species